rnacentral:rRNA from 1 species
AUUGAACGCUGGCGGCAUGCCUUACACAUGCAAGUCGAACGGCAGCACGGGUGCUUGCACCUGGUGGCGAGUGGCGAACGGGUGAGUAAUACAUCGGAACAUGUCCUGUAGUGGGGGAUAGCCCGGCGAAAGCCGGAUUAAUACCGCAUACGAUCUACGGAUGCAAGCGGGGGACCUUCGGGCCUCGCGCUAUAGGGUUGGCCGAUGGCUGAUUAGCUAGUUGGUGGGGUAAAGGCCUACCAAGGCGACGAUCAGUAGCUGGUCUGAGAGGACGACCAGCCACACUGGGACUGAGACACGGCCCAGACUCCUACGGGAGGCAGCAGUGGGGAAUUUUGGACAAUGGGCGAAAGCCUGAUCCAGCAAUGCCGCGUGUGUGAAGAAGGCCUUCGGGUUGUAAAGCACUUUUGUCCGGAAAGAAAUCCUUGGCCCUAAUACGGUCGGGGGAUGACGGUACCGGAAGAAUAAGCACCGGCUAACUACGUG